rnacentral:lncRNA from 1 species
UUUCACUUGUGAUUAUAUUACUGAUUUGAGAUACCAAAGUAACACAUCCCAAAAGCAACCUAAAAGAAUUCAUUAUUUCUGUGUGAGGCCAAUCACAGUUCAUAACAGACAAAAAUAUGGUCAACAUUUUAUAGCAUUCUUCAAAGGAAAUCAUGAUUCCCAGGAUAGAAGAAUAUACGAAAGUGUCCAGUGCCCCAAUUUUAGGCUCUGCCAGUCACUUCUUUCGUGAGACUCCAAAUAAGUCCUACACUUGCACUCUGCUUGUUUUCUCAAUUAUAAUACUGGGUUGAUGAUAUCUAACAUUUGCACAGUUUUACAAGAUGCUAAGCAUUUUCCUGAGCGCACCCUCACACGAACAUAAAAACACCUUAAAAUAUAAAAUACUAUACACAUAUAAAACAUCACUAUUAUAUUUGUACAGAAUUUUCUCCAAUUUGAAUUGUUUUAGGGAGAUGGCCAAUUCACUGGCCUGAGUUCCACAAAUGAUUUGCCUGUCUAUACAUCAUGUUGCUUUAGGUCAGUAGUUCUUAAUCUCGGCCCAUCUGCCCCUCUUCAAACAGGGGAGUUAAAUAUUUAACUGGGGAGCUUUAAAAACCACUGAUGACUGGGUCUCCUACUCUCCAAAUUCCAAGAAUAUUGGACUGGGAAUUUUAAAAGCUCUUCUGUGGGGAUCUAACAUGCAGCCAGUGUGGAGAAUUACUGUGUUAGGUGAGGGUAAGACUUGCCUUUGUAAGCCAUUGUGAAAAUUCCCUGUGCCUGACAUGCCCCCUUCUUGUGUUCCCUUGUGUUUGGGUGGACCUUGUCGUAAAUACUUAUCUCAACGACUCCUGGGCCACAGAACCUUUGGGCCUCUUUAUGGCUAAGUGGUGUCUAAAAAUGGGCUUUGGAUCAUUAAAUCACAAAAUCACACCUUCUUCCCAUGGCAGGCGUCCUUGUUGGUUACUAGCUAAAUAAAAUUACCCUGCAAGCAGGGAGAUGCUGCCUGCCCCAAUAUUAUAGAUCUUUCCUUUAUUUGCUUUCUAUCAGCCCUUUUUUUUUUUUGGCCUACUUCCUCAGCUUUAUGUUUUCCUAAAUAUCCAUUUCUUCUGUUCUGUCAUUGAUGAUAUUUUAGCAGUAGGCUGGCUGUUAUUAGCAACGUGCCAAACUGUUUGAAGAGGGGGAGAUAAGCACACCAUUACCCCACAAGGUAGGGCAUCAGAUUCAGUGCUUCUGCAGUUAACAGAAAAAAAGGGACAGUCAGCCAACAGCUCCAAUGCUAUCUUCGCUUCAUCAUUUAAACAAAUCACUAUUUUACAUAAGGAAAUUUACGUUGGAUUCUCAGUACAGCCAUGUAUUAUUAUUCAUCCUGACACAAUCUUGUUAAUAUAGCCAUCCAUGCAUCUUUGUCAGGACUUCUGUGAUGAAGUGUUUAGUUAGUUCCUUUUGAAAUAAAGCAGAUUUGGUGCAGUGUCAAAAAUUGAUGUCUUAUCCUCAUCUGUUCAAACAACAAACUUUCUAAAUGACCUAAAAAUACUUGGUGCUCAUAGAGUCUGCUUUUGGAGAAUCAAAAUCACAACUCUCACUCUCUCCAGUCAAAUUCAAAAAGCAACAAUUAUGCACCUACUAUGCCAAGACUUUGUCCAGUUAAAAUCAUUUGUUUGCUUCUGUGGUGCUAAGGACUGCAUUCACUGAGAUUAAUAUGGCCUGUCUAACUUGAACAGGCCACCUCAUUAAUCUAAAAAGAAUAAAACAUGUGACAUGGAC